rnacentral:rRNA from 1 species
GACGAACGCUGGCGGCGUGCCUAAUACAUGCAAGUAGAACGCUGAAGGAGGAGCUUGCUUCUCUGGAUGAGUUGCGAACGGGUGAGUAACGCGUAGGUAACCUGCCUGGUAGCGGGGGAUAACUAUUGGAAACGAUAGCUAAUACCGCAUAAUAGUAGAUGUUGCAUGACAUUUGCCUAAAAGGUGCAAUUGCAUCACUACCAGAUGGACCUGCGUUGUAUUAGCUAGUUGGUGGGGUAACGGCUCACCAAGGCGACGAUACAUAGCCGACCUGAGAGGGGGAGCGGCCACACUGGGACUGGGACACGGCCCAGAAUACUACGGGAGGCAGCAGUAGGGAAUCUUCGGCAAUGGACGGAAGUCUGACCGAGCAACGCCGCGUGAGUGAAGAAGGUUUUCGGAUCGUAAAGCUCUGUUGUAAGAGAAGAACGAGUGUGAGAGUGGAAAGUUCACACUGUGACGGUAUCUUACCAGAAAGGGACGGCUAACUACGUG